GUCUUCUGCUGAGCCUGUUUCCUCUGUUUCCUGCUUCUGUGAGGUCAGUGCUGACACCAGUGACACAACUGGAGAGAAAGUCCAGUUUGGUCGAACAUAUGCACCUGCGGAAUUGUAAUGGACUUAGUUGGACCAUUUAUGUGCAUUAUGAUGACACAUGGAAAUAACAGUGGCAAAACCAGAGCCAUUAAAUGUACUGCCCAGGGCUGAAGAGGUGUGAGGAAAGCCCAGAUGUUGGGCUCCAAGCUCAGCUGACCGGGGCUGACACUGACCUGCGUACUGAGAAGGAUUCUUGGUAUUUACAAAGCUUUCCCAGAGGCUGCUAGUAUCGGAAUGUCUUCCAACACUGCUACUGUCAC